GAUGAACGCUAGCUAUAGGCUUAACACAUGCAAGUCGAGGGGAAACGGCAUUAUGUGCUUGCACAUUUUGGACGUCGACCGGCGCACGGGUGAGUAUCGCGUAUCCAACCUGCCCUUUACUUGGGGAUACCCCGUUGAAAGACGGCCUAAUACCCGAUGUAAUUCAUUGAUGGCAUCAGAUAUGAAUAAAAGAUUUAUCGGUAAAGGGUGGGGAUGCGUCUGAUUAGCUUGUUGGUGAGGUAAAGGCUCACCAAGGCAACGAUCAGUAGGGGUUCUGAGAGGAAGGUCCCCCACAUUGGAACUGAGACGCGGUCCAAACUCCUACGGGAGGCAGCAGUGAGGAAUAUUGGUCAAUGGGCGCAAGCCUGAACCAGCCAAGUAGCGUGCAGGAAGACGGCCCUAUGGGUUGUAAACUGCUUUUAUACGAGAAUAAUUUGAUGCACGUGUGCGUUAUUGCAUGUAUCGUAUGAAUAAGGACCGGCUAAUUCCGUGCCAGCAGCCGCGGUAAUACGGAAGGUCCAGGCGUUAUCCGGAUUUAUUGGGUUUAAAGGGAGUGUAGGCGGUUUGUUAAGCGUGUUGUGAAAUUUAGAUGCUCAACAUUUAACUUGCAGCGCGAACUGUCAGACUUGAGUACACGCAACGUAUGCGGAAUUCAUGGUGUAGCGGUGAAAUGCUUAGAUAUCAUGAAGAACUCCGAUUGCGAAGGCAGCAUACGGGAGUGUAACUGACGCUUAAGCUCGAAGGUGCGGGUAUCGAACAGG
rnacentral:rRNA from 1 species